rnacentral:rRNA from 1 species
AACGGCCGUACCAUGCUGAAUAUACCGGUUCUCGUUAGAUCACCGAAGUUAAGCAUCAUUGGGCGCGGUCAGUACUUGGGUGGGUGACUACCUGGGAACACUGCGUGCCGUU